rnacentral:ncRNA from 1 species
CGUCUUCAGGGCAGGGUGAAAUUCCCGACCGGUGGUUAUAGUCCACGACCUGCUUUUUUUAAUUAAAAAGUGGCUGAAUUGGUGAAAUUCCAAUACCGACAGUACAGUCUGGAUAAGAGAAGAUA